UGCUUCAGAGUCAGACAGAAGAGUCUGCAGAAGAGUGGAGGCAGGAGGUCUGUCUGACUUUUCUAUUGCUGUGGGGAUAGCACAGGACCAAACAAGCAGUGCACUGGGGUUGUUUAGCCUCCGAACCCACCUCUAUGACAUAACACCUUUUCCAAGUAGUACCAUCAACUAGCGGCCAAGUAUUCAAACAUGAGCCUGUUGUUACCAUUUUCAUCCAAACCACCACAGAUAUUUCAUAAAGUUACCGAUAGUUUCUACAUGAUGCGGGUUGAGCCCCACUGUGACCGUGGCCUGCUUGUAACCCUGCUCCUCUCUGGCUCCUUACAUGGGGCUUGUUCCCACAGUAGUCUCUAGUGUUAACCUCCUGUGUUUUGUGUGUCUUUUGUGUCCAGCACCCACCAAAAGGGCAAGGAAGUGGAAUGCACAGGUGGAAGAAGAGCCUUCAGAUAAGACUCAGAGGAUGCUGACGUGUAAGGAACGGAGGAGAGCAGCUCGGCAGCAACAAUCCAAAAAAGUCGGUGUGCGCUACUAUGAAACACACAACGUGAAAAACAGAAACAGGAACAAAAAGAAGACGAAUGACUCAGAGGGACAGAAACACAGACAUAAGAAGUUCAGACAGAAGCAGUAACAGCUAGAAAGCUGUUUAUUAAAUUAUACAAAAAU
rnacentral:lncRNA from 1 species